UGUGCAGGCGGUUGUUUAAGUUCGGUGUGAAAUCUCCCGGCUCAACUGGGAGGGUGCGCCGAAUACUGAAUGACUAGAGUGCGGGAGAGGAAAGUGGAAUUCCUGGUGUAGCGGUGAAAUGCGUAGAUAUCAGGAGGAACACCGGUGGUGUAGACGGCUUUCUGGACCGUAACUGACGCUGAGACACGAAAGCGUGGGUAGCAAACAGGAUUAGAUACCCUGGUAGUCCACGCCCUAAACGAUGCAUAUUUGGUGUGGGUCAUUCAGUUGAUCCGUGCCGGAGCUAACGCGUUAAAUAUGCCGCCUGGGGAGUACAGUCGCAAGGCUGAA
rnacentral:rRNA from 1 species